rnacentral:lncRNA from 1 species
AUGACUGCGGUGUCCGAGCAGCGUCGUGGCCACCCUGUGUGCCCACUCCCUGGUGGACAGACCUACGUCACCUGGGGAUUGCAGAGCAAAAGGAGUGCUGUUGGGGUGAUGUGAGGUUGGGGUUCUGUUUCUUGCUGUGAAUUGGGUCAUGACCUGUGUCGGAGCGUUCUCUGGCCUCCACUUGCCCCUGCAGACCAGGGUGUCUGGAGGGUUGUCGGGGGCUUGAUGGAGGAAUUGCUGACCACACCAUGCAGGAAGAGGUGGGUCCCAGGGACACAGGAACUUUGGGGUCAGCCGGUUCCAGAUUCAGUUGCAGAGGAGCAUCCCCCUUGCUUAGCCAGGGAGGGGAAGCCCUCUUCUCACACCCGGCCUGGGUAUGUUGUGGGAGAGUCAUUUCCCAGGAGGAAAUGGGGACUGUUACCGGGGGAGGGGGUGCUGUCCCCAGGCAGCAGCAAGCGUCCCUUACGCUUGGGCUGUCCGAGACCCUGCUGCUCUAGGCGGUUGUGA